GACGAACGCUGGAGGCGUGCUUAACACAUGCAAGUCGAACGAUGAAAUGGAGCUUGCUCCAUGGAUUAGUGGCGAACGGGUGAGUAACACGUGAAUAACCUGCCCUUAAUUUUGGAAUAACCCAGGGAAAUCUGGGCUAAUACCGGAUAAGUAAACCUGUGGCAUCACAUGGUUUUGGAAAGUUUUUCGAUUAAGGAUGGAUUCGCGGCCUAUCAGCUUGUUGGUGAGGUAAUGGCUCACCAAGGCGACGACGGGUAGCCGGCCUGAGAGGGUGAACGGCCACACUGGGACUGAGACACGGCCCAGACUCCUACGGGAGGCAGCAGUGGGGAAUAUUGCGCAAUGGACGAAAGUCUGACGCAGCGACGCCUCGUGAGGGACGAAGGUCUUCGGAUUGUAAACCUCUUUCAGCAGGGACGAAGCGAAAGUGACGGUACCUGCAGAAGAAGCACCGGCUAACUAUGUGCCAGCAGCCGCCGUAAAAC
rnacentral:rRNA from 1 species